rnacentral:rRNA from 1 species
UAGUAAUCACAGGUCAGCAUACUGUGGUGAAUACGUUCCCGGGCCUUGUACACACCGCCCGUCACACCAUGAGAGUUGAGAAUACCCGAAGCCCAUGUCAAAGUGGUCGAAGGUAGGCUUGAUGAUUGGGGUGAAGUCGUAACAAGGUAUC